rnacentral:lncRNA from 1 species
UAUUAUGAAGAACAGAGGGAUAAAGGAAAAAGAAAGAAGGAAAACAAUCGACUGAAUCCACUUUAAUAGACGGAUUGUAGCCUUUGAGUUGCAGGUCCUUCCAGUUGUGGAAUGUGGGACGCCGCCUCAACGUGGCCUGACGAGAGGUGCCAUGUCCGCGCCCAGGAUCCGAACCCUCGGACACUGCAGCGGAGCUGCACGAACUUAACCACUCGGCCACGGAGCCAGCCCCAGAUUUGCUACUUUUUAGCUGUGCAACCUUGGGGUCUGCAAAGCACAGCGGCAAAGGCUGACUUUCGAAGCCCGAACUCGGAGGCUGCCGUCUAGAAGUCUGGAAGCAGAAUCCUGCUAAGGGCAGGGGAUUGGGGGGCGUCCCCGGAAAGCCCGUUCUCCGUGCUCUGAUUGCUGGGAGUUCCGCAGGUGUGCAACGCAAGCACAGAGAGGAGUGAUUCGACCAGCACUCACGCAGUUUGGGCGGCGACGGCCUAUCUCCCAGUUUUUCAUCCAUUAUUCAAGUUAGAGCCAAACUCUCCAGCGGGGAGCCCAGGCCUGUCUGGGGACCCAGGAGCCCGGGAGGCGGGCGCAGGCGGAACCUUAGUCCUCCGCGGCACGUUUCCCGCGACUCCGCUCCCAUCGCUACACCGCCGAAUAGACGGCCUCCUUCCCCCGCCCGGUGGCCCCUCCCGAGGACGCGUUCCGAGUUUGGGACGAGUCAUUGCGAUGGGAGGAUAAUGGGCACUCCCGCCGAGGGCAGUUUCUCCGAGCAGCG